AUAGAUAAAAUAUUAUAAAAAGGAUAGUUGCUACAUUUGUGUGUGUGUUUGUGAGUGAGCGAGUGUGCGCGCGCGCUUUUGAAAAGGCCCUUGUUGCCCGAAAGAUAAGUCCGACAGUCUUUUUGUUGUGCCUUUCUGUGACUCAGCAUCUUCACCAUUUGGUGAGCAGCAACAACUAUCCUUUUCAUAAUAUUGUUACAUUCCAUCCUGGAUUUUUCGUUGUUCAUCAGAGAAAAGAUUUUUCUGAGGAAUUAAACUAGAUGGUAGUGUAGAACUUGCAAACUUUUUAAAAUAUGAAGUAAAAGAUUUUAACUUUAAAUUAGGUUAAUUCAAAUAUGGGACAAUGUUGAGAAUUGAAAAGGUGGAAAAAAUAAAUAAGAUAUAUCUUAGUGGCAUUGAGAUGUCGUAUGACUGAUGGAGGAAAGAUUUUGCAUUUCUUUUUCCAAGUAAGAAUGCACUUGCUCUCACUUGCUUCAAAACAUGUCUAGUGAUUCACGUGAAACAGAGAAAAAGAUACUGCCCUGUUAAUGAACAUGAGAUUGCCCAGUAUCACUCUGACAGAAGAGUAUGGUGUUUCCUUGAUAUGGUAUCUGGUCAGCAAUGUCAUUGGGACCAAAUGAAAGUUACUGCAGAUACCACACAGAAGCAAUUACUGUUACUGGAAUACCAGUAAUGUUUAUUAAAUUCAGUUGUAAAGUAGUUCUGGGCAUUGCAGCUGGCGAGCAAUGUCAUUGGGCACCAAAAGAAGUUCAGUUAUGAUGGAUUUCUGGCCUUCAGUCCAUGGGAAAAUUCACACCAGAUUGCAUCAAGACUGUUAUAUUCCAAGGAUAUCUUGGAAGAUUGAUAGUAUUCCUGAAGGAAAACAAUCCAUAUAGUAUUUCACGUGUGUAUCAAACUGCCAUUUGUUGUGGCACAUAAAUGUUUGCAAUUUGAUUGUAAUUUUCGAACAGUUCCUCAACAGUCCAAGAAUUUCUUGUAAUGAGAAGUAGACAUUGUUGCUUGGGUAAAGGAAAUACAAAUCACGGUCAAUAUAACUACCUUAUUAACUUUCCACAGAGAAAUAUUUUUCACUACUGCUACUUAAAAAUUCAAAUGUGUGACAAAGUUUGCUUACAGAACUUGGCAUAAAGA